rnacentral:misc_RNA from 1 species
GAUGAAGAACGUAGCGAAAUGCGAUACGUAAUGUGAAUUGCAGAUUUCAGUGAAUCAUCGAAUCUUUGAACGCACAUUGCGCCCGCCAGUAUUCUGGCGGGCAUGCCUGUUCGAGCGUCAUUUCAACCAUCAAGCGCCUCGCUUGUGUUGGGGCCCUGCGGCUGCCGCAGGCCCCUAAAUCCAGUGGCGGGCUCGUCGUCGUACCGAGUGCAGUAAACAUCCUCGCUCAGGGAACCCGACGGGUGCCGGCCGUGAAACCCCCCCUCCUCAAGGUUGACCUCGGAUCAGGUAGGAAUACCCGCUGAACUUAAGCAUAUCAAUAAGCGAGGA